rnacentral:rRNA from 1 species
UACGUAGGGGGCGAGCGUUGUCCGGAGUUACUGGGCGUAAAGCGCACGCAGGCGGUCUGCUAAGUUUGGAGUGACAGUUGGUGGCUUAACUGCCAAAGUGCUUCGAAAACUGACAGACUUGAGGGCUUCAGAGGGACACGGAAUUCCGGGUGGAGUGGUGAAAUGCGUAGAGAUCCGGAGGAACACCAAAGGCGAAGGCAGUGUCCUGGGGAGUACCUGACGGUCAGGUGCGAAAGCCAGGGGAGCGAACGGG